rnacentral:rRNA from 1 species
AGUGAACGCUGGCGGUAGGCCUAACACAUGCAAGUCGAACGGCAGCACAGUAAGAGCUUGCUCUUACGGGUGGCGAGUGGCGGACGAGUGAGGAAUACAUCGGAAUCUACUUUUUCGUGGGGGAUAACGUAGGGAAACUUACGCUAAUACCGCAUACGACCUACGGGUGAAAGCAGGGGAUCUUCGGACCUUGCGCGAUUGAAUGAGCCGAUGUCGGAUUAGCUAGUUGGCGGGGUAAAGGCCCACCCAGGCGACGAUCCGUAGCUGGUCUGGGAGGAUGAUCAGCCACACUGGAACUGAGACACGGUACAGACUCCUACGGGAGGCAGCCGUGGGGAAUAUUGGACAAUGGGCGCAAGCCUGAUCCAGCCAUACCGCGUGGGUGAAGAAGGCCUUCGGGUUGUAAAGCCCUUUUGUUGGGAAAGAAAAGCAGCAGGUUAAUACCGCGCUGUUCUGACGGUACCCAAAGAAUAAGCACCGGCUAACUUCGUG